GUCGAGAGGCUUUGGCAAUGGGGGAAACCCUGACCAAGCGACGCCGCGUGGAGGAUGAAGGCCCUUGGGUUGUAAACUCCUUUUGCCGGGGAAGAAACGCGAUCAGGUGAACAAUCUGGUCGUUUGACGGUACCCGGCGAAUAAGCUCCGGCCAACUCCGUGCCAGCAGCCGCGGUAACACGGGGGGAGCAAGCGUUGUUCGGAAUUACUGGGCGUAAAGGGCGUGUAGGCGGUCAGGUAAGUGGAAUGUGAAAUGCCCCGGCUCACCCGGGGACCUGCAUCCCAAACUGCCUGGCUUGAGUAUGGGAGAGGAUGGAGGAAUUCCUGGUGUAGCGGUGAAAUGCGUAGAUAUCAGGAGGAACACCGGUGGCGAAGGCGUCCAUCUGGCCCAAUACUGACGCUGAGGCGCGAAAGCUAGGGGAGCGAACGGGAUUAGAUACCCCUGUAGUCC
rnacentral:rRNA from 1 species